UGGAAACGAUUAAGCUAUCCGUGCUUCUGAUGCUUCGUGCAAUGAAGCAAAUUAAUAGAUGGUUGAAUUUCUUGAAGUGAGCCA
rfam:Picea glauca, whole genome shotgun sequence.